rnacentral:rRNA from 1 species
GAUGAACGCUGGCGGCGUGCCUAAUACAUGCAAGUCGAGCGAAGCGGGGACGGGUGAGUAACACGUGGAUAACCUCCUAUAAGACGGGGAAAACUCCGGGAAACCGGAGUUAAACCGGAUACUUUAGGUUGGAUCGGCCCUGCAUUAGCUAGUUGGUAAGCUAACGGCUUACCAAGGCAACGAGGGAUAGCCGACCUGAGAGGGUGAUCGGCCACACGGGAACUGGGACACGGUCCGAACUCCUGCGGGAGGCAGCAGUAGGGAAUCUUCCGCAAUGGGCGAAAGCCUGGCGGAGCAACGCCGCGUGAGUGAUGAAGGUCUUCGGAUCGUAAAACUCUGUUAUUAGGGAAGCGGUACCUGAUCAGAAAGCCACGGCUAACUACGUGCCAGCAGCCGCGGUAAUUC